GCGAAUUUGGGUAAUUUCGAAUCUUCGUCAUCGUCACUGAGACUCUCUCUGUAGAGAAAAACCCUAAGAUUUUCCGGUGAGAAAUGAGUAUCAUUCGUAGCGCGAUCAGAUCGAGCUUGUGUCUCCGGCAGUUGGAUCCGGCAAUCAGUCGUAGUUCGCUUCCGUUUCUUCAAGAGUGGAGGAAAUGCCUAUCUACCGCCACGGAGCAGCCUCCUCCUGCCUCUCCGUUACCACCGCCUCCGGGAGGUUCUCCAGGAGAAGAGAGGUUUUAUGGGAAAUUUUCAGGCUUUUCAAAACAUGCUCUGAAGACUGAUGUUAUGAACAUACUCGAGGGCUGCAGUGUGACAUCAGAUGAUCUCAAAUUCAACUAUCCGCGUGGUGGAAACUUAACUCCUGCGGCAGUUUUUGUGCAGUUCCCUUCCCUUUCCGCAUAUGAUAAAGCACUGCGGAAUAUCGCAAAGAAAGGAAAGCUAUAUAGAUUAGAAAGGGCUGCUCGUGCUCAGUGGGAUCCCAUUGUUCCUUAUGAGGGGAAAGUGGUUGCACUACAUGGGCUUCCGGUGAAUGCUAUAACAGAGGACAUAGAUAGGUUCUUAUCUGGCUGUCUCUAUUAUCCUGGAUCCAUCCAAUUCCUCACAGUCCAAGGACUUGGAACUUCGAAGAGGGUGGCGUUGGUGCGUUUCACAUCACAGACCCAGGCAAUGAAUGCAUACAUUACAAAGAACAGGAACUUCCUUCUCAACCAACGAAUCACAUUGCAAGUUCUGCAGUAAUUUCUCAGUUUCCCAUUCCAUUCUCGUGGUGUAUUCCAGUGUGAAACUGUACGUCCUUUGGAUAUGCUUAUAAUCAAGAUGCUCUUCACUGAGAUAUGGAUCAAUCAAAUUGGGAUUUGGGAGACAUGAGAGUUUGUGCUAGUAUGGACAACACACGGGGACAAAUGCAUAGAGACUAGAGUUAUAGAAUGGUGUGGUCAUGUGAAUUAUUAUCUUUCAAUACUGUUUCUUGAAGACAACAGUUGAAAAGUAGAAGAAGCAAUGGAUUUAGCCAAACUUUUAGAUCUCUUUUCAUAGUUUUGACUUUUGAUCAUUUUCCUCUUGUUUUGUUGUUUUUGUUUGGUCAUGUGGACUAACAAGAGAAAGAUCUCUUUGUCCUGAACAACAACAUGAGUUUGGUAAA